rnacentral:rRNA from 1 species
GAUGUGUUAGUAAUUGUAGAAAUACAGUAAAAGCAUGUUUAAAAUAUUGAAGUGUUAGUGGCGGACUGGUGAGUAACGCGUAGAUAAACUGCCCAAAAGAUCAGCAUAGAUUGCCGAAAGGUGAUGUAAUUCUGAAUGUUUUUAUUCUUUCACAAGAUUGAAUAAAUAAAGGAUAGCUGUAAAAAGUUAUCGCUUUUGGAUGUGUCUGCGUCCUAUUAGCUUGUUGGUGAGGUAAUGGCUCACCAAGGCAGUGAUGGGUAGCUGGCCUGAGAGGGUGGCCAGCCACAUUGGGACUGAGAUAUGGCCCAAACUCCUACGGGAGGCAGCAGUAAGGAAUAUUGCGCAAUGCCCGAAAGGGUGACGCAGCGAUGCCGCGUGAGGGAUGAAGGUUUUCGGAUUGUAAACCUCUGUUAGGCAAAAGGAAAGGAGGAGGCGUAAGUUUCCUCCAUGACGGUAUUGCCAGAGAAAGCUCCGGCUAACUACGUGCCAGCAGCCGCGGUAAUACGUAGGGAGCGAGCGUUAUCCGGAAUUACUGGGUGUAAAGAGUUCGUAGGCGGUGCUUUAAGUUAUGGGUUAAAUCCCUGGGCUUAACCCAGGGAGUGCCUAUAAAACUGGAGUGCUAGAGGAUAGGAGAGGAGAGUGGAAUUCCUGAAGUAGCGGUGAAAUGCGUAGAUAUCAGGAAGAACACCAGUGGCGAAGGCGGCUCUCUGGACUACUCCUGACGCUGAGGAACGAAAGCCAGGGGAGCGAACGGGAUUAGAUACCCCGGUAGUCCUGGCUGUAAACGAUGGAUAUUAGGUGUAGGAGGCAUCAACCCCUUCUGUGCCGAAGCUAACGCAUUAAAUAUCCCACCUGGGAAGUACGACCGCAAGGUUAAAACUCAAAGGAAUUGACGGGGGCCCGCACAAGCGGUGGAGCAUGUGGCUUAAUUCGAUGCUACGCGAAAAACCUUACCAGGGCUUGACAUCCCUUGCUACCUGCCGAAAGGUAGGGUUCCCUUCGGGGACGAGGAGACAGGUGCUGCAUGGCUGUCGUCAGCUCGUGCCGUGAGGUGUAGGCUUAAGUGCCACAACGAGCGCAACCCUUACCUUUAGUUGCCAUCAUUCAGUUGGGCACUCUAAAGGGACUGCCUUGUUUAUGCAAGGAGGAAGGUGGGGAUGACGUCAAGUCAGCAUGGCCUUUAUACCCUGGGCUGCACACGUGCUACAAUGGUAGGUACAAUGAGUUGCCACAGGGCGACCUGGAGCUAAUCUCUAAAACCUACCCCAGUACAGAUUGUAGUCUGCAAUUCGACUACAUGAAGGAGGAAUCGCUAGUAACCGCAGAUCAGCGCGCUGCGGUGAAUACGUUCCUGGGCCUUGUACACACCGCCCGUCACGUCACCCGAGUCGACUGUACCCGAAGUCAUUAUCAAAGUUUUUUUCAUUUAUUUGGAAAAGACAAUGAAUGCCUAAGGUAUGAUCGGUAAGGAG